GGAUAACCUGCCCUUGGGUCCGGCAUAACCCCGGGAAACUGGGGAUAAUACCGGAUAACGCACAUAUGCUGGAAUGCUUUAUGCGUAAAAUGGAUUCGUCUGCCCAAGGAUGGGUCUGCGGCCUAUCAGGUGGUAGUGGGUGUAAUGUACCUACUAGCCAACAACGGGUACGGGUUGUGAGAGCAAGAGCCCGGAGAUGGAUUCUGAGACAUGAAUCCAGGCCCUACGGGGCGCAGCAGGCGCGAAAACUUUACAAUGCGGGAAACCGUGAUAAGGGGACACCGAGUGCCAGCAUCAUAUGCUGGCUGUCCGGGUGUGUAAAAUACACCUGUCAGCAAGGGCCGGGCAAGACCGGUGCCAGCCGCCGCGGUAAUACCGGCGGCUCGAGUGGUGGCCGAUAUUAUUGAGUCUAAAGGGUCCGUAGCCGGCUUUGCAAGUCUCUCGGGAAAUCCAGCGGCUUAACCGUUGGUCGUCCGGGGGGUACUACAUUGCUUGGGACUGGGAGAGGUAGGAGGUACUCAGGGGGUAGGAGUGAAAUCCUGUAAUCCUCCGGGGACCACCGGUGGCGAANGCGUNCUACCAGAACAGGUCCGACGGUGANGGGACGAAAGCUNGGGGCACGAACCGGAUUAGAUACCCCGGGUAGUNCCAACCGUAAACGAUGCUCGCUAGGUGUCANGCAUGGCGCCGACCGUGUCUNGUGCCCCAAGGGAAACCGUGAAACGAGCCCCCUGGGGAAUUCCGGCCNCAAGGCUGAAACUUAA
rnacentral:rRNA from 1 species